AUAGCGUAUAUUUAAGUUGUUGCAGUUAAAAAGCUCGUAGUUGGACUUUGGGCCGGGUCGGCCGGUCCGCCUCACGGCGAGCACCGACCUACUCGACCCUUCAGCCGGCGAUGCGCUCCUAGCCUUAAUUGGCCGGGUCGUGCCACCGGCAUCGUUACUUUGAAGAAAUUAGAGUGCUCAAAGCAAGCCAUCGCUCUGGAUACAUUAGCAUGGAAUAACGUGAUAGGACUCUGGUCCUGUUGUGUUGGUCUUCGGGACCGGAGUAAUGAUUAAUAGGGACAGUUGGGGGCAUUCGUAUUUCAUUGUCAGAGGUGAAAUUCUUGGAUUUAUGAAAGACGAACUUCUG
rnacentral:rRNA from 1 species